rnacentral:rRNA from 1 species
UACGUAGGGUGCGAGCGUUGUCCGGAAUUACUGGGUGUAAAGGGUCCGCAGGCGGAUACGUAAGUCGAUGGUGAAAUUUCCUGGCUCAACCAGGAACCUGCUGUCGAUACUAUGUAUCUUGAGUUGGAGAGAGGAUAAUGGAAUUCAUGGUGUAGCGGUGAAAUGCGUAGAGAUCAUGAAGAACACCGGUAGCGAAGGCGGUUAUCUGGCUCCAAACUGACGCUCAGGGACGAAAGCGUGGGUAGCAAACAGG